rnacentral:rRNA from 2 species
GACAGAGGUUGCAAGCGUUGUUCGGAAUCACUGGGCGUAAAGGGCGUGUAGGCGGCGGAGUAUGUCCGACGUGAAAUCCCUCGGCUUAACUGGGGAAGUGCAUCGGAAACUGCUCUGCUUGAGUGCGAGAGAGGGUGGCGGAAUUCCCAGAGUAGAGGUGAAAUUCGUAGAGACUGGGAGGAACACCAGAGGCGAAGGCGGCCACCUGGAUCGCAACUGACGCUGAGACGCGAAAGCGUGGGGAGCAAACAGG